GAUGAACGCUGGCGGCGUGCCUAAUACAUGCAAGUCGAGCGGACGGACGCUGCUCUUGCUUCUCUGAUGUUAGCGGCGGACGUGUGAGUAACGCGUGUAUACCCUACUUAUAAGACGGGUAUCAUUUCGGGAAACCGGCGCUAAUCCCGUAUGAUCUUUUGCACCGCAUUGUUCAAAAGUGAGAGUCGGCCUUUCUGUCUCUUAUCGCUGGAUCCGCGCUUGAUUAGAUAGUUGUUAAGGUAACGGCUUACCAAGGCUACGAUGCAUAGACGACGUGAGAGGGGGAUCGGCCACACGGGAACUUGGCCAGGGUCCAGACGACUGAGGGAGGAAGCAGAAGGGAACGUGCCGCAAUGGGCGAGAGCCUGACGGAGCAACGCCGCGUGAGUGAUGAAGGUCUCCGGAUCGUAAUAAUCGGUUAUGAGGGAAGAACAUAUGUGGAAGUAACUGAGCACAGAGUGACGGUAACUAAUCAGAAAGCAACGGCUAACUACGUG
rnacentral:rRNA from 1 species